rnacentral:rRNA from 1 species
GAUAGAUCAUUCAAGUUUCUGACCUAUCAGCUUUCGACGGUAGUGUAUUGGACUACCGUGGCAGUGACGGGUAACGGGGAAUUAGGGUUCGAUUCCGGAGAGGGAGCCUGAGAAACGGCUACCACAUCUAAGGAAGGCAGCAGGCGCGCAAAUUACCCAAUCCUGACUCAGGGAGGUAGUGACAAGAAAUAACAACACUGGAAAUUUUAUUUCUAGUGAUUGGAAUGAUGGGAAUUUAAACCCCUUUCAGAGUAACAAUUGGAGGGCAAGUCUGGUGCCAGCAGCCGCGGUAAUUCCAGCUCCAAUAGCGUAUAUUAAAGUUGUUGCAGUUAAAAAGCUCGUAGUUGGAUGUCUGCUGGAAGCAAUCAGUCCGCCCUAUUUGUAGGGUGUGCACUUGAUGAAUUCUGGCAUCUAUAUCCCAAUAAUAUGAUGGUGUAUACCCUGUGUACACCCAUCUAUAUUGGGAUAAUACCGUUACUUUGAGAAAAUUAGAGUGUUUGAAGCAGGCUAAUUGCCUUGAAUACUGCAGCAUGGAAUAACAAUAUAGGAUUUCGGUUCUAUUUUGUUGGUUUCUAGGACUGAAAUAAUGAUUAAUAGGGACAGUUGGGGGCAUUCGUAUUUAACUGUCAGAGGUGAAAUUCUUAGAUUUGUUAAAGACGAACUACUGCGAAAGCAUUUGCCAAAGAUGUUUUCAUUAAUCAAGAACGAAAGUUAGGGGCUCGAAGACGAUCAGAUACCGUCGUAGUCUUAACCAUAAACUAUGCCGACUAGAGAUAGGAAAAUGUC